ACUAAAAUUGCUGAAAAAUAAAUUUAAGAGACUAUUUUAGACCUAUACCCUAAUGGGAGGGAUCAUUUGUGUCAUUUUCUCGAUCAAAAUCCCUAAACCUACCAAAAAAACUGUAACUGCGAAAUUCCAUCGAUCAAAAUCAUUGUUCAAAAUCAUUGCAUACAAAGGAGAAGUGAAUGUGAGUCAAAGUUCGCCAAUCUAAUUUCGUCAACUCACCAAGUCCAGCUUAAUUUCAUGGCGGAUCAAAUCAACAACAACUACGAUGAAGAAGAGUACUCACUCAUGGCCUGCAGUUUUCCCAAAGAUGCAAUGUUGCAGAUACUCUUAAGGCUUCCUGUGAAGUCGCUGCUCCGCUUUAGGUCUGUCUGCAAAUCAUGGUACAAUUUCCUUAAGAGCCCUCAUUUCAUUAAGGUGCACCUCUCCCAUCAAAUUUCUCAUCCUGCUUCUCUGCCCUUAUUGUUUACAACAGAGAGAAUUAUGUCUGCUUCCCUGACCUCUCUUUACUCCAUCUUCAUCCAAUAUAUUUUAGUAACCCAUUGCCUUUACCUUUUGCUAUUGAGGCUAAGGACUGCAAAUUUUGAGUUUUGCUACAAUGGUUUAAUAUAUUUGAUGAAGGAUAUCUAUAUGUCACCAGAAGAUAUCUUGUGGAAUCCUGCUACUCGGAAGUAUAAGUGCAUCAGUGUACCUUCUGAGUGCUCCUGAUAUACUUAUAUAAAACUCGGUUAUGUUCAACAAAGCAAAGACUAUAAACUUUUGAAAGUCCCUUUUGAGCCAUAGAGUAAUGAUGAUGCGUCCAAAAUGGCUUGGGUUUAUACCCUGAGUUCAGGUCCAUGGAAAACUGUACCGUUCACCCUUCUUAGCCUAACUGUUGCAUGGGGACCUCAAAUUUCGCUGGAUGGUUGUGUGUAUUGGCUGGCUACUUCAGCUGUGGAAUUUAUUAUUUGCUUCGAUUUGAUUAAGGACGAAUUCAAACUUGUAGACGUUCCUGAUGAUCGUGGAUUUGAACGUGAACAUGUUUGAAGAAGGCUUAUGGUUUUAAGGGGAUCUCUUGCCAUGAUGGUCUCCGUUGAGGAUGCUUCUAGGGGUACUGAGGUAUGGGCACUGAUGAAUAAAAGUGGCAUUCAACAAUAAUCUUGGACUAAGAAAUUUAUUAUAGAGCCUUUCUCCAAAGAGGCAAUCCCUUUGGGAAUCUGGAAUGAUGAUAAGCUUCUUGUAGUAGUUUUACAAACUCGUGCUGUCAAGCAAGUCUUCACUUAUGAUCUGGUUACAAAAAAGAUAGACUAUUUUCAUGCGCCAAAGGAAGAAGAGUUUGCUUCGUUUAUGUCAGUGCGUGGGCGCUAUUUCGAGAGCUUGGAACUUGAAGAUGGAUAUGAGAAAUACUAAACAUGAAUGUGGGAGAUACUGAAACAAGUUUGUGACUACUACUAUACUAUAUUAGUAAUAAUUUUCAAUUUUUCUAUUUUCUUUGGAUA